UUUAACUGAAGAGUUUGAUCAUGGCUCAGAUUGAACGCUGGCGGCAGGCUUAACACAUGCAAGUCGAGCGGG
rnacentral:rRNA from 1 species